rnacentral:rRNA from 1 species
AGUCGAGCGAGCUUGCCUAGAUGAUUUUAGUGCUUGCACUAAAUGAAACUAGAUACAAGCGAGCGGCGGACGGGUGAGUAACACGUGGGUAACCUGCCCAAGAGACUGGGAUAACACCUGGAAACAGAUGCUAAUACCGGAUAACAACACUAGACGCAUGUCUAGAGUUUGAAAGAUGGUUCUGCUAUCACUCUUGGAUGGACCUGCGGUGCAUUAGCUAGUUGGUAAGGUAACGGCUUACCAAGGCAAUGAUGCAUAGCCGAGUUGAGAGACUGAUCGGCCACAUUGGGACUGAGACACGGCCCAAACUCCUACGGGAGGCAGCAGUAGGGAAUCUUCCACAAUGGACGAAAGUCUGAUGGAGCAACGCCGCGUGAGUGAAGAAGGGUUUCGGCUCGUAAAGCUCUGUUGGUAGUGAAGAAAGAUAGAGGUAGUAACUGGCCUUUAUUUGACGGUAAUUACUUAGAAAGUCACGGCUAACUACGUGCCAGCAGCCGCGGUAAUACGUAGGUGGCAAGCGUUGUCCGGAUUUAUUGGGCGUAAAGCGAGUGCAGGCGGUUCAAUAAGUCUGAUGUGAAAGCCUUCGGCUCAACCGGAGAAUUGCAUCAGAAACUGUUGAACUUGAGUGCGGAAGAGGAGAGUGGAACUCCAUGUGUAGCGGUGGAAUGCGUAGAUAUUAGGAGGAACACCAGUGGCGAAGGCGGCUUACUGGACCGUAACUGACGUUGAGGCUCGAAAGCGUGGGGAGCAAACAGGAUUAGAUACCCUGGUAGUCCACGCCGUA